rnacentral:sRNA from 1 species
CCGACGAGUUCCUCGAUUGCUUCCUCAAGUUCCUCCUAGCUACCGCUACGACAUCCAACAAAACAGCCAGAUUCGGAGCGUGCCAGAUCGUCUCCGAGAUAAUAUUGCGGCUUCCAGAUGACGUAGAAGUGAGCAAUGAGAUAUGGGAUUAGGUGAUUGAGUGGAUGAUGGUGAGGGUAUGAGACAAGAUCCCUGUGGUGCGUACUUUUGUGUAGUUUUCCCCUCAUGUCAUUAGCUAAUGAGUGUGCCAAAUGCCAUGGACUAAAAAUUGGGAAGGCAAUUGAUGAUGAUGAUGAUGUGGGGAACUACUUUGUGCUUG